GUGAAUCAUCGAAUCUUUGAACGCAAAUUGCACUCCCUGGUAUUCCGGAGAGUAUGCCUGUUUGAGGGUCAGUAGAACCAACAUCGACACGUCUCUCUUUUUUUUUAGGGGGAUCGCGUCGGAAUUGAGCCGUCUUUCUGCUUUUAAUGCAUGUCAAAGUGGCAUAAUAUUCAUCCAUCCGGUACGAUUAAAGCGUAUUUAAG
rnacentral:misc_RNA from 1 species